UACGAAGGGGGCUAGCGUUGCUCGGAAUCACUGGGCGUAAAGGGCGCGUAGGCGGCCAUUCAAGUCGGAGGUGAAAGCCCAGGGCUCAACCCUGGAAUUGCCUUCGAUACUGUUUGGCUAGAGACCGGAAGAGGUAAGUGGAACUGCGAGUGUAGAGGUGAAAUUCGUAGAUAUUCGCAAGAACACCAGUGGCGAAGGCGGCUUACUGGUCCGGUUCUGACGCUGAGGCGCGAAAGCGUGGGGAGCGAUCCGG
rnacentral:rRNA from 1 species